GGUGAACGCUGGCGGCGUGCUUAAGACAUGCAAGUCGAACGGCAGUCUUCGGACUGUAGUGGCGCACGGGUGAGUAACGCGUAACUGACCUACCUCAAAGUCGCGGAUAACGAUUCGAAAGAAUCGCUAAUACGUGGUGUGCUGUCCGAUUGUGUUCUGCCAGUAAAGAGUGAUUGCUUUGGGAUGGGGUUGCGUUCCAUCAGCUAGUUGGUGGGGUAAAGGCCCACCAAGGCGACGACGGAUAGCCGGCCUGAGAGGGUGGCCGGCCACAGGGGCACUGAGACACGGGGCCCACUCCUACGGGAGGCAGCAGUUAGGAAUCUUCCACAAUGGGCGUAAGCCUGAUGGAGCGACGCCGCGUGAGGGAUGAAGGUCUUCGGAUCGUAAACCUCUGAAUCAGGGACGAAAGACACUUCGGUGGGAUGACGGUACCUGAGUAAUAGCACCGGCUAACUCCGUGCCAGCAGCCGCAGUAACAC
rnacentral:rRNA from 1 species